CGCGAAGCUUGGCGUCUACCUCAUUGUUCUCUUGUCGAAGGUUUGCAGAGAUAUCCUCGCAAAGCCUACCUGACAGGCCAUGUGGAGAGAGUGGGCACAGAGAACUUUGAGUUAUCUAAGGUGCUCGGGACAGAAGCGUAUGGCAAAGUGUUCUUGCUGAAGAAAGUAAGCGGUCAUGAUGCAGGGAAGCUAUAUGCCAUGAAGGUUUAGAAAAAGGCUACAAUUGUGCAAAAGGCAAAGACUGCUGACCACACACGGACAGAGCGGCAAGUGCUGGAGCACAUGCCCCAGUCUCCGUUCGUCAUCACACUCGUCACACUACGCUUUUCAGACAGACAACAAGCUGCACCUUAUUCUCGAUUAUGUAAAUGGUGGAGAGCUCUUUACACAUUUGGUGCAAAGAGUGAGAUUUAAAGAGCGAGAGGUAGCCCUGUACAGUGGAGAGAUUGUGUUGGCAUUAGAGCAUCUACACCAGCUCGGGAUCAGCUAUCGGCACCUGAAACUCGAGAACAUUCUCCUGGAUUCAAAUGGUCACAUAGUUCUGACAGACUUCGACCUCAGUAAAGAAUUC